AGUGAACGCUGGCGGUAGGCCUAACACAUGCAAGUCGAACGGCAGCACAGUAAGAGCUUGCUCUUACGGGUGGCGAGUGGCGGCCGGGUGAGGAAUACAUCGGAAUCUACUUUUUCGUGGGGGAUAACGUAGGGAAACUUACGCUAAUACCGCAUACGACCUACGGGUGAAAGAAGGGGAUCUUCGGACCUUGCGCGAUUGAAUGAGCCGAUGUCGGAUUAGCUAGUUGGCGGGGUAAAGGCCCACCAAGGCGACGAUCCGUAGCUGGUCUGAGAGGAUGGUCAGCCACACGGGAACUGAGACACGGUCCAGACUCCUACGGGAGGCAGCAGUGGGGAAUAUUGGACAAUGGGCGCAAGCCUGAUCCAGCCAUACCGAGUGGGUGAAGAAGGCCUUCGGGUUGGAAAGCCCUUUUGUUGGGAAAGAAAAGCAGCAGGUUAAUACCCCGCUGUUCUGACGGUACCCAAAGAAUAAGCACCGGCUAACUUCGUG
rnacentral:rRNA from 1 species